UACGAGGGGGGCGAGCGUUGCUCGGAAUCACUGGGCGUAAAGGGUGCGUAGGCGGGUCUUUAAGUCAGGGGUGAAAUCCUGGAGCUCAACUCCAGAACUGCCUUUGAUACUGAGGAUCUUGAGUUCGGGAGAGGUGAGUGGAUCUGCGAGUGUAGAGGUGAAAUUCGUAGAUAUUCGCAAGAACACCAGUGGCGAAGGCGGCUCACUGGCCCGAUACUGACGCUGAGGCACGAAAGCGUGGGGAGCAAACAGG
rnacentral:rRNA from 1 species